GGAGAGGUGGCUGAGUGGACGAAAGCGGCCGACUCGAAAUCGGCUUCCGCCUUGUGCGGACGCAGGUUCGAAUCCUGCCCUCUCCGCCC
rnacentral:tRNA from 2 species